rnacentral:rRNA from 1 species
CCACAAUGGACGAAAGUCUGAUGGAGCGACGCCGCAUGAUUGAUGAAAUCCCUUUGGGAUGUAAAGAUCUUUUAUGAGGGAAGAAGUUUAUUGACUGUACCUCAUGAAUAAGAGGCUCCUAAUCUCGUGCCAGCAGGAGCGGUAAUACGAGAGCCUCAAGCGUUAUCCGGAAUUAUUGGGCGUAAAGGGUGCGUAGGUUGUUUGUUAGUCUUUGUCAAAUCCCGGGGCUUAACCUCGGACUUGCGAAAGAAACGGCAAAACUUGAAAGUGUGAGAGGCGUACGGAACUCAUGGUGUAGGGGUGAAAUCCGUUGAUAUCAUGGGGAACACCGAAAGCGAAAGCAGUACGCUGGCGCAUAUUUGACACUGAAGCACGAAAGCGUGGGUAGCGAAUGGGAUUAGAUACCCCCGUAGU